GAGAGAGGCUCGCCAGCAAGGAAAGCUGCUAACUUUUCCCAGCCUCUGGUUGAACCCCAGAGCUCCCUCA
rnacentral:tRNA from 2 species